rnacentral:misc_RNA from 1 species
GGGAAUUGGCAAAUUUGGAUGCAGGUAAACCAAUUAUUUCAUGAUUUUCUACACCUUGUCUAUUUUUUCUUUUCACUUUUAUUGUCUUAAUUACCAGAUUUUGCUGUCUUUCUGUGAUAAUUUUCUGGGAACUUCAAGUUGCACAGAAGCCCAUCAUAUGUUACAUGCUGGAUAUUUUGCAUUGCAUAUGACAUUCAACAUCACAAGAGUAAUCUUUACCUGUUCAUGCAUUAAACAAAGAAAAUAUAUCUUUAUCUGUUUUAACUUUCGUUCUCCUUUAUUUUAUAAUUACUCGAUCCGUCAUUUGCCCAUACCAUUUCAGAGCUAUAAGGACUUGACAGGA